AGUAGAAUGUUGGAUAUUCAAAUGAUGUGCUGCAGCCAUCCCCAGAACUCCUCAGGAUCUUCAUUUAUUCUGUCCUCUGUCAUUUUUCACCACCACACAUCGUCACUCCUCUUCUUCUUCCAUGGCCUGGAUGUUGCACAGUCAACUUUUUACCUGAGCAGCUCCUCCAUGUGCACUAAUUGAAAUUUCUGUUGUGCUCACAUAAAUUACAUUUUAAUAAUAAUGAUUUAAACCUGUCAGCAGAUUUUCUAAGAUAGUUCUGACCUACACAAUGAAACUGUGCUAACAUAUUUUUUCCAAGUUAAACUAUGAAAGUGACAAAAACAGAAUGAAUCCUCCUGCAACUUAGAAAACUUUGAUUCUCUCCCUGUGUUUGUGUUCAAGCUGUUUGUAUUUAACACUAUCAUCAACAUCGGCAGAUUGUAUGAUUUGUUUCUUAUAGUUGAACAUUGUUAAUCAUUUUGUAUUUUUCCUCCUCAGAUGCAAAAUUUUCUUCUCAUGGUUCUUCAGACAUAACCAGCAAAACUCAGCUGAUGACAAAUUAAUUGACUGACAAAGAGAGUGUGAUCUGGCACAAAGGAGACAGUUUUAACACGUGGACUAACUUCAUUUCAUGAGCGCUCACCUGAAACCUUGGCUGAUUGUGACCUACACCCAUUUUCACACCUUGGCUCAUGUGAUUAGGUAGAGGAUCAUUAGGGGGUCCAUUGUCCCUCUCAGAGGGUUACUCACACAGGGUUUAAAU